rnacentral:lncRNA from 1 species
GCACAAGUGAGCAUGUGUACAUGUAUGGCUAUGAGCAUGCUUCUGUGCACGUGUUUGUACAUGUGUGUGCAAGGGAGGGGCCACCAGAGAGAGCAUGGGGUCCUGAGUGUCCAGGUCCUGGAGCCGUCUGUGCACCUCACAGAGAGAAGCACGGACCACAGCCCUGUGUUGUCCUAGGAAGCUGGGUGCUGGAUGGGAACUCUGUGGCAGCCUGCCCCCAGGGAGGCUCUCAUCUGUGCCACGAGGCCCUCCUCACGGCCACUGGGUCACACUAGCUACUUCAUCAAGUCUUUGGAGACCUUCAGGUAUUGGUCACAUCUGCAGGCCUGGGAUAGCUUGCUCCUGUAGCUGUGGGUACGGUCAGGGGCUUCACAGAGACAGGUAAUGGUCCCCAAUUUUGUCCCAUCUGUGGACCUGUGGGGGCAGGCCACAUCACUCUCUGGGAGCCUUCCUGCCUGUGCCACGGUGGCCUCCUCUUUUUCCUAAGGCCCUGUGGACUCUUCCAGACCCAGAGCCUGGAGGGCAGAGCCAGGCCUGGUUCUCUGGCCAGCUCUGCUCAGGCAUGGGAUGCAGGGUCAGGGUAGGUGCCUUGUCCAUUUCAGAGUCCACAUUUCCCUCUGACACCUCAGAGGCCCCCAGCAGGGCCCCAAAGCCCACAGGGGUCAGGAGCAAAACCUCUUUGGCCUCUACAUGGAGACUUCAUUCAGGACAGGCAAUGGGCUCCCACCCCAUUGAAGUGGUCUCUGAGGUUAACCAUGCAGGGAGGGGCUCAGCUCAGCGAUCCUGGGGGAGGGAGGUCAGGACUGGC